GUCACUUUGGCGGAGUGGUUAACGCGCUGCCCUGCUAAUUCCUCCUCGGGAUAGCAUGCUAGGCAGUUCCCUCGGGAGCACAGGUUCGAAUCCUGUAGGUGACG